GUGAGGAAUAUUGUGCAAUGGAGGCAACUCUGACGCAGCCAUGCCGCGUGCAGGAAGAAGGCGCUACGCGUUGUAAACUGCUUUUAACCGGGAAGAAACCCCAGGACGUGUCCUGGGUUGAAGGUACCGGAGGAAUAAGCACCGGCUAACUUCGUGCCAGCAGCCGCGGUAAUACGAAGGGUGCAAGCGUUAUCCGGAUUCAUUGGGUUUAAAGGGUGCGUAGGCGGAGCGUUAAGUCAGUGGUGAAAUCCUGCAGCUUAACUGUAGACUUGCCAUUGAUACUGGCGCUCUUGAGUGCGCUUGAAGUGGGCGGAAUGUGCCGUGUAGCGGUGAAAUGCUUAGAUAUGGCACAGAACACCAAUUGCGAAGGCAGCUCACUAAGGCGAUACUGACGCUGAGGCACGAAAGCGUGGGGAUCGAACAGGAUUAGAAACCCCAGUAGUCC
rnacentral:rRNA from 1 species